AGUAUAAACGGACAAAGGAAGAAAUGUUCUUCAAGUCUCAAGCAUUGUUGGGUUCUGACGGUGAGAAUAUCUUUUACAGUGAGCUUUUGGCUAUCCUGGGUGGUGGGAAUGGCGCUAGAGGGUUCUCAGUUUAAUGCCAAGUAUUAUGACAACAAGAUGGUAUAGAUGCAGGUGGGAAUUUACUAUGACUCAGUUAGCAAAGCGGGUCUCACCUGCAGAGGAUGUGAUAAAAUAUUCCAGAGCCCGAGGAAGAGAAAUAAACCAAUAUGGUUAUUUCUAUGAUGAAAGGUAUGAGAAGUCAGCUUUAUUUAAAUAUGAAACAUACGUAAAUUAUUCAGAAAUUGUAUCAUGAGAAGCCCUCACUUAAACUGAACGAAACGUUGCUG